AUGCUUAACACAUGCAAGUCGAACGGUAACAGAAAAUAGCUUGCUAUUUUGCUGACGAGUGGCGGACGGGUGAGUAAUGCUUGGGAAUAUGCCUUAUGGUGGGGGACAACAGUUGGAAACGACUGCUAAUACCGCAUAAUGUCUUCGGACCAAAGUGGGGGACCUUCGGGCCUCACGCCAUGAGAGUAGCCCAAGUGGGAUUAGCUAGUUGGUAAGGUAAUGGCUUACCAAGGCGACGAUCCCUAGCUGGUCUUAGAGGAUGACCAGCCACACUGGAACUGAGACACGGUCCAGACUCCUACGGGAGGCAGCAGUGGGGAAUAUUGCACAAUGGAGGAAACUCUGAUGCAGCCAUGCCGCGUGUGUGAAGAAGGCUUUCGGGUUGUAAAGCACUUUCAGUGGGGAGGAAAGGAUGUACUUUAAUAGAUUGCAUCUGUGACGUUACCCACAGAAGAAGCACCGGCUAACUCCGUGCCAGCAGCCGCGGUAAUACGGAGGGUGCGAGCGUUAAUCGGAAUUACUGGGCGUAAAGCGCGCGUAGAUGGUUAAUUAAGUCAGACGUGAAAGCCCAGGGCUCAACCUUGGAACUGCAUUUGAAACUGGUUAACUAGAGUUUUGUAGAGGGUGGUAGAAUUUCAGGUGUAGCGGUGAAAUGCGUAGAGAUCUGAAGGAACACCAGUGG
rnacentral:rRNA from 1 species